CUCAGUAGAAACUAAGUCGUAUACAGCGUAAUGAUUACCGAGGGCUAUUGCGUUGGCAAUUUAAAAUUUAGAUAAUCUCUAUAAGAGGGUACUUGGACCACAUUAUAUCAGAUGGCAAACAUCGGCAGCAUUUGCGUGGCACAUUAUUCUAUUAACUUAAUGGUUAGAAGUCGGAGCACGAGUGUAAAAUAAAUUAGGGUCUUUUAUUAAGGUAGGGCUAAAAAUAGGAAAGCUCAUUUACGUUAUUGUUAAAGAAUUUGAAGUUUUAGUGAGUAUAAAGUCGAACUUAAUUUUUGCAUUAUCGUCUGAUUUUUUCCAGGCAAACUAUAACAGACAGCAUCUUUUAUAUUGAAGAAAUCUUUGUUGAACAUGGUAAAACAGAGUUGCGUAUAGUUGAGACAAUCGUGUUGAAGUAAAUAUCAAUUUGCACUCUGUAGGGUGUAAACAUCUAAAGUGUUUUUUUCAAGACAUCAGAAUAAAAUACAGCAUUAUUAGUGAUGAUUAAAAUGAUUUAUUCGUUAAAUCAUUAAAAUAAAACUGUUUCAUUAUGUUUCGAUUCAAACGAAUUUAUGUUAUUGUUUGACAAAUACUUUCAGGAUAAUUAUAACGAUUUCAUAAAUUAGUGUAAAUCAUCUUUUUAGCGACGAUAUUAUUUUGAAUGUUUCAUUAUUUGGUAAUUAUGAAAAUAUAAAUGUCUAAUUUAAUUGUCAAUAUGCGUUUUCUGGGGUAAACCAAUAUUUUACAGUCGCUAGUAAUAUUUCAUCAAGUUUAUGGAAAUAUUUCCUUUAUGGUACGUUUCUUUUUUCUUCUGCGAAGAGUUUGUGGUCUUUGUUGAGUUUAUGUUACAAUCGUUUACGGGUUUGUGCUUAAAUGACACAAAUGAUCCUUUUUAGAUCAUUUGCGAAAGGGAAAGAAAGAAGGAGUUGCAGGAAUUAAUAAAUUCUUAAAAUAAAACGUGCUAUGUUGAGUAAUUUAUGCUUGAAAGUUUAUUGUAAGACAGAAAACAAAUAAGUUCAGACGUUAUUCCAUUAUAAAUUAUGUAAGUACGAUUAAACACCUAACUUGUAAGCUAUAAAUACUUGUAUUAAUUGCCAAUCUAACAAGGUCUGAGUAAAUAUACCAUUGUGUUCGUAUUUGAAUAAAACAUUUAUUAAAAGAACAUUCAAAACACAGCUUUAAUUGUAGCGAAUUAACUCUUAUUGAAUUUCAUUUUUUGUAAUGAAAUAAUUAAAUGUUAUUUAAAUUUUUAGAAAUUAUAUAAUAUUUAUCACUCAGGUUAAAAGUUUAUAGAAUUACAACGGAAUGAAUUUCUAGUGAAAUAUUUCUCAGUUUCUUUGCAGAUUACUAAUAUGUAAACUCAAAGUUCACGCUACUGAAUAUUUUUUUUUUUUUUUUGGAAUUCCAAAUUGUUUACGCAUUUUACAUUCUCAAUUCUUGUGUAUACACUCAUAAAAACCUUUCACGCUAUGUUUUAAGUAUCCUUGAAAUUUUUGUAAAGUUGUGGUGUGUAAUUUACGAAUGAUUCGACUCACUGAAACGACUCGGUCAGGUUUGAUGAGCUUGUUAUCAUCAUGGAUUUCGAUUUUAUUAUAUUUAAAUCGAUUUCAUUAUUUAAUAUUACUUCAAUUGCUAGCGUUGACUAAAUUGAAAACGUUGAGACUAUAUACAAACAAGAUAGAUUUUUAAUAUUCAAGAUUUUGUCAAAAUGUUUUAAAAUUAUUUAAUCAUUAAACAUUUAUAGAUUGCCCCCAAUUACGGUGAACGAGGGAAAUUUUUGAGGGUAAUGUCCUUCUCAGCUUCGAAGCUAAAACUGCAGAGAGAUGUAAUAUAUUUUUUCAUUUCAUCAUCCAGCAGCGUUAAUGGAUAGCUCCAGCUUAUAUUAACAAUGUAUUUAAUUAACUUUACUCUUGUAAAAUCAAUUUUUGCUAUGAAAUGAAAAAUAUUAUAAUUGGCUUCUAUUUUUGAAGUAUAAUAAUGUACAAUUACAUAUUUUUCUUUAUUUAUGUAAAUUAUUUUUAUAUAAAAAUUUUAAAAUUAUCAAUUAUCGUCAUUUAAAAAUAAAUGUAUCAUUUUUUCAGUAAUCAAACGGAAU